UCUGUCUUUAGUUCAGUUCGAGUUCGGCGUGCAGCCGGUUCGUGUCUGUGUUUUGCGUGCAACUUCCGCCUGAUCGACGUUCGUUAUAUAUUCGCGGCUUACGUCGAUACGUCGUCGACCUCUCACAGUGUUUUUGCGUCUUCCUGCAUCCAGAACGCGGUUACCGGGUCAGAUUUUGGAAACAAUCCGGGAAUAUCGAUUGAUCGAGUGACGAGUCGGUCGCGAUAUACCGAUAUCGAAAUAAGAAAAUACAUAGUGGACGAUCAUGGUGUGACUCGAGUGACUAAAUUGAUCUUUCGGAAAGAUCGUUGAGGUUGACCGGUGGUUGUGUGGUGAUUGGUUUUGGUGGUGGUGCUUGAUACGCUCCUGGGAGUCGGAAGCCCGUUGGCACCUGGGCCUCGUUUACAUCGGUUUACUCAUGCUGGGAGUUUUGAAGCGGCGCUGGAAGCCAUCAAAAAGGUGAGUAGUCCUCCAUAUUUUCUUUCUUUUUCCUUUGUUCACAUUUUAAAUUUAUUCGCAGUAUUAAAAUUGUAAAUAAUUUUCUCGCGAAAACUAUAAAAAAAGAUUAAUUCGAUAGUUGUAAAAUAUUCGUUUGGUACCUUGAACUUCUAUGUAAGGUUAGGAUGACGCGGUAAUUAUGAAAUGCAACAAGGUUAUUGUAUGAUAAUUGCGUUUUAAAAUUCUUCC